AGAAAUUGGAUCCAAGGAAACCACCGGUAACUUAAUUUUCUGGAUCACAAUUAUUCAGCAUCUCCAAUGAAGUGGAAACAUAAACUGUAUGACACAGAAGAAAAGUUAGAUGACAUGACGAAAAAAUUUAAAACAUCUUGUAAGAAACAAACAGAUAAGCUGUAUGCAGAAAACCAUAUCAACAUUGAACUCAAAACAAAAUUAGACUCCUUUGGGGCAAACUUUUUGCUUCGCCUGUAAUAAAGUUCAAUCUCUCAUGGGAGUUGUUUAAGAAAGAUAAAAGAUACCAAAGAAUACAACACUUCUCAGCGAGAUUUUGCGAUAUCCCUUCACCUUAUGUCACCAAAAGCCUAUGAUUAUCUGAGAACUGCUGGAUUUCCUCUUCCCAAUCCAAGGACUUUAAGAAAGUAUGUCAAAUUUCAGUUUUAUCAUUAAAAUGGAAAAUAUUCAUAUAAUAAAUCAUUGGGUAAAAUCACUGAUCAAGAAGUUCUUCAUAAUGCCCAGUGCU